AAAGAUUAAGCCAUGCAUGUCUAAGCACAUGCCUUAAUACGGUGAAGCCGCGAAUAGCUCAUUACAACAGCCAUCGUUUAUUAGAAUAUCGUUAUCCUACUUGGAUAACUGUGGCAAUUCUAGAGCUAAUACAUGCAAUAAAGCUCCGCCCGCAAGGAACGAGCGCAUUUAUUAGAAUAAAAACCAAUCGAGUUUCGGCUCGUAAUUUGGUGAAUCUGAAUAACUUUGCCAAUCGCACAGUCCUAGUACUGGCGAUGUAUCUUUCAAGUGUCUGCCUUAUCAACUUUCGAUGGUACGCUAUACGCCUACCAUGGCAGUAACGGGUAACGGAGAAUAAGGGUUCGACUCCGGAGAGGGAGCCUGAGAAACGGCUACCACAUCCAAGGAAGGCAGCAGGCGCGCAAAUUACCCACUUCCAGAACGGAGAGGUAGUGACGAAAAAUAACGAGACAGUCCUCUUCGAGGUCUGUCAUCGGAAUGGGUACAAUUUAAAUCCUUUAACGAGGAUCUAUUGGAGGGCAAGUCUGGUGCCAGCAGCCGCGGUAAUUCCAGCUCCAAUAGCGUAUAUUAAAGUUGUUGCGGUUAAAACGCUCGUAGUUGGAUCUGCGGCCUCGAAGAACGGUCCCCCGAAAGGGUGGUCACUGUCUCUUCUAGCCUAAAUUCGAGUUGUCUUUAGGUGCUCUUUACUGAGUGCUUAGAGCGACUAGAACAUUUACUUUGAAAAAAUUAGAGUGCUUAAAGCAGGCGAAAUAGUCUGUAUAAGGUGCAUGGAAUAAUGGAAUAGGAUCUCGGUUCUAUUUUGUUGGUUUUCGGAGCCCGAGAUAAUGAUUAAGAGGAACAGACGGGGGCAUUCGUAUUUCGGCGCUAGAGGUGAAACUCUUGGACCGCCGAAAGACGAACGACUGCGAAAGCAUUUGCCAAGAAUG
rnacentral:rRNA from 1 species